rfam:Zea mays cultivar B73 chromosome 8, whole genome shotgun sequence.
AAAAAAACACGAUGUUGUGGUAUAUACUGGCAGAGUAUCCCUCUAAACUUUAGGAACACCAUGAUCAUUGUUAUUGGGUGAACCGUUGAUUUUGUCCAUGUGUUGGAAAAUUCUAUGUCAAUUGGUUCUGUAAAUGAUGGCACAUUC